CAGAGCUGGGCCUGAGAACAAGCGCUGCCCCGACAUCAUAUUCCACCACAGAGGAGUGCCAACAGUACUGCUUGUUGUCCUUCUCUACUGGAACCCAGCCUGGAUGUUUACAAGGACAAGAAACGACAUCAAUACAGCCCAGCUCCCAAAACAGCUGUUCCGACUACAGAACGAGUAUGAAACAGCGACUGAAACGCACCCCAUUAAGUUAACAUGUGAACCUGCAGUCACUUCAGAGCCAAAUCUACACCACUACGAUACAUCCUCAUCGGACGAGCUCACCAGACACGAGUGAAAAACAACGUCUGUGGUGAAGUUAUGUGACGAUCGGUGUACGCUUGUCCUUCUGUGAAUCUGUCUGCUUGCAGUGUGACUCAAAAAUGGACUAACGGGUUUGAAAUGAAUGAGAUUUUCAUGGAAGGACAGAAAUGACACAAAGACUACCUGAUUAGAUUUUGGAAGUGGUGCAGCUUACAGUCUGGAUCCACGGAUUUGUUAAAGAUUUCUGUAUCAUUGCGAGAUAGUGGCACGGCACCACUGUAACUAUGACAACAAGUGAACACUACGACCGCUGCCUGCAACAUAUUUCAGUCACACAAUUCGGUAUCUGUACAACACACACCUGUGCUCAGCACAAGGUCAUCAUUUUUUUAAUUUGUGGGUAGAUCUGUAUUAAAUGGCCAGAUUCUUUAUUGCCCUGAUUGCUGAAUAAACAAAUUGAAAAAUAAACAGCCUUGGUGGAGUACUGCA